rnacentral:rRNA from 1 species
AGCGAACGCUGGCGGCAGGCCUAACACAUGCAAGUCGAACGCCCGUAGCAAUACGGGAGUGGCAGACGGGUGAGUAACGCGUGGGAACGUGCCCUUCGGUUCGGAAUAACCCAGGGAAACUUGGGCUAAUACCGGAUACGUCCGUAAGGAGAAAGAUUUAUCGCCGAAGGAUCGGCCCGCGUCCGAUUAGCUAGUUGGUGAGGUAACGGCUCACCAAGGCGACGAUCGGUAGCUGGUCUGAGAGGAUGAUCAGCCACACUGGGACUGAGACACGGCCCAGACUCCUACGGGAGGCAGCAGUGGGGAAUAUUGGACAAUGGGCGCAAGCCUGAUCCAGCCAUGCCGCGUGGGUGAUGAAGGCCCUAGGGUUGUAAAGCCCUUUCGGCGGGGAAGAUAAUGACGGUACCCGCAGAAGAAGCCCCGGCUAACUUCGUGCCAGCCGCCGCGGUAA